rnacentral:rRNA from 1 species
CGAACCGUGCGAACGUUGUUCGGAAUCACUGGGCUUAAAGGGCGCGUAGGCGGCUUGCCAAGUCCGGGGUGAAAUCCUCCAGCUUAACUGGAGAAGUGCCUUGGAUACUGGCGAGCUCGAGCGAGGCAGGGGUGAUGGGAACUUCCGGUGGAGCGGUGAAAUGCGUUGAUAUCGGAAGGAACGCCGGUGGCGAAAGCGCAUCACUGGUCCUCUUCUGACGCUGAGGCGCGAAAGCCAGGGGAGCAAACGGGAUUAGAUACCCCGGUAGUCCUGGCCCUAAACGAUGGGUACUAGAUUGUGGGCUAACAUGGGUUCACAGUCGAAGCAAAAGUGGUAAGUACCCCGCCUGGGGAGUAUGGUCGCAAGGCUG